rnacentral:lncRNA from 1 species
UUCAGAGUUGUUGAAGUCGUUGUCAGCAAGAUUCAGCCUUGUGAGCUGAACAAGGUGGAAGAGGCUGCUAUUGGAGUCGAUGGAGCCAUAAAGGCAGCUGCUACUGAGGUCAAGGCCGAUCACAUGACCAGAGUCUCCGUCACAUUCAACACCAUCCCAUGAGCAGCAAUCACCACUUUCUCCAUCAACUUUCCAUGAUGCAACCUUAGGAUAGGCAGAAGGCUCAUAAGAAGCGGACGCAUUAAUGACAAGGCUUUCCUUGAGCUGCAACAAGGCAUGACUCUCGUCAUCAUGGCAUAGAGGCUGCAUGGAAGGAGAAGAAUAACAAGCUCUAAGAUGAAACAAAGACAGCAAAAAGAGCAAAAGCAUCCGCAUGGUUAAGAAACACACAGGUGAUGCCAUGUUUUUUAGUAAAGAAACUCUUAUCUUUUUUAAUAAACAAGUAAGAGAAAUAAAGCAGUUUAUAUAGACAAAAAUAUUCAGUCUGGUAGAAAAGUAAACAAAGUAUUGUAUUUUUCAUUGAUUUGAUUGAAAACAAUGGAGAUUUUUCACUAAUUAUUUCUAUUGGAUCGAGCCAUCAAUCCAUUAUAUAUAUUAAGUAGUUAUUAAUUUUUCCUCUAUUUGAUGGUAUAACCGUUUGACUUUAACCAAUUAACGAAUAAAGGGAUUUUUAAGGAAAAAUUAUCUCCUCGAUGAUAUAAAAAAUAAUAAGAAUAAAAGUGUUUUUAAUCAAAAUUAAAAGUAAAGCUCUCAAAAUAUUAUUUUUUUCAAUAAAAAUACAAAAGUAAAUAGCUUUUAGUCAAUUUAAAUAGCGCACAACUAUUUUAUAUACGGUCUAAAGCAUCAAAUUGGGUUCUGAUUUUUAACCUCAUUUUUUACUAUUUGGCUUUUUAAUUAAAAUUUUCAAUUAAAAAUUUCAGCUAUAAAGACUCUAAUCAUUUUAGAAAUCUUAAAUAUAUCAUAGACUAACUAGAAAGAUUUCUCGUUGCCUUGCUUUCUUUUUUCAAGUUUUUCCUUAUUUUCCUUUAUCUUUCAGCCCUCAUUUAUUUGAUGGUGCUGUCUAAUAUAUAAUUCUCUCAAUUAUUAUUUUUUAAAAAAUAAAAGAGAUCAAAAUCUCUUGUUUACAAUUUUUUCUCCAAAUGAGGUCUUCUUUAGUAGUUUCUCUUCUGCUUUUGUCCUUGCUUCGACAGACGAAGAGUCUAUGUAUAUACUAAAAUUAUCAAUCAUUAAUUUAAAGUUGCAUUAUCAAUCAUUUCAAGUUGCCGAAGAGUCUUAUUUUUGCAUUUUAUAUUAUUAGUUUUAACAUUUAUUGUUAUUAAUUUUCAGUAGGGAUUCGUUUAGAAAGAGGAUCCAUGCAAGAUUGAGCUCAAAAUGUCCAGGUGGGUUUUAUAUAUUCAGCAUCCAUUGUGAUGCAUUCAAAUGAAUAUUUUUACUUAUUUUCAAUUUACCUUCAAUUUACUUAUUUUCAAUUUACCUUCAAUUUACCUUCAAUUUAUUCAGCAGAGGAUCGAGAGGAGUUCUUCGAAAGAAAGAAGUAAUGAUGGUGCUGUGCUGGGAGAAACCAUUCUCUGCAAAGAAUGGCAAUGUACAGGUACCAUGGAGAAAAGAUAACUGUCCAAAAAAUCAGAGAAAAUCUAGCUAUGUUUUUUUAACUUCCAAAAAUACCCUAUAAAUCAUUAGCCUGUUUUUAGGCCAAUGAAAAAUUAUAAUUUAUUUUUAUUUUCAAAGUUUUAUUUUGAGCUCUUUGAUCCUAAUUGAAGGUCCUUAAUUUCAAUUUCUUAAAUAAUUGUUAAAUUGAAAUAAUAGAACCGAAAUUAAAAAAGCACCAAACAUGGAUGACAUGUUUGGAAUUAUAUGAAAAAUAUACUUAGAUAUUCAAAUUUUAAAAAUAACACAAAUUAUACAAUUUAGAUCCCUUAAAAUUUAAACAAAUCUAAUUUUGGUAUAAAAAAAUAUUUGUAUUAUUUUUCAAUCCUUUGUUAGAAAGAGAAGAGAGAGAAGAGUCAUUGAAUUUUGAUGAUGAGAGAGAAAGUCAUUAUUCAAGUCAUUUCUAGUCAUCAAAAUAUUUUUUUUCCAUCAAUAACAUUUUAUAAAACUCUUGAAUUUAUGAAUUUGGACUUAUAAUAAUAUGAAUGAUAUUUUUACUCAAUUCACAGUUCAACAAGCAAUUAAUAUGAAUGAUAUUUUUAUUCUUUAAAAGUUUUGACUUAUAAUAACUUAGUUAUCCUUAGUUUCCAACUACUGUCAAUUUCAUUCAAAGUCUAAAGUCUUCGUCUUGUUUCAUUAAAAUCCACACCACGAUGUAAUUUGCUAGAUAACCAGUUCCAAUAUUCCACCACGAUGUAAUUUGCUAGAUAACCAGUUAAUUGGCCAUCUCUGAAGACGUAUAUCACCACCACAACCAUCUUAUCCCUCUUAUAGUGCUAACAAGAGAACGAUUACGAUGAACGUGGGAGAUGGGUCGAAGACUUUGAACAGAAUGGUUUAGAUAUUCCAUUACUAUCACAAAUAACUUAUUUGGAGUCAAACACGAUUUGAUUGAAAACAAUGUUAAUGUACGUAUCUGUUUACAUUUUUCAGAGUGCAGAGAAUGCGUGGCUGCAAAUAAUGGAUAGUUAUCAAGUCCCCUUCAGUUUCUCUCGUAAAGCGCCAAAAAAAGGAGAAGAAAUUCAUAACUUAUGAACUAAAUAAUUGGGUAAAGGAGCUGAUUAAUUACUCAGACGAAAAUGUACGUAUCUGUUUACAUUUCCACCCUCAUAGUUUUCAUGGAGAAAAUGAUUUCAGAAUAAUAUGACGAAUGAACUUCAUAAUAACGCCAAGAUCUUACAUUCAUUGCCAUAAAUGAAUGAAGAAACAGAUUUCUUUUUUAUCAUUUUAAUAAUUCUUUAAGCAAGUGGUUGAGAAGUUUGUUUAUACAAUGAUUUUCCUACUUGACAUGGUUUCCUUCGUAAUCAAUUAAAGGAAGGGGAUAAACAACACAUAAGAACCUUGCUCAACUCAAAUCAUUUAGCAAUAAAAUACAUGACUGUUGUCGCACCCCAAAAAAAAUCAGCGCGCGGCAUCGGCUGGCGAUUUUUCGUCUCGUUGUUGUUUGCUUGAAUUUGGUUCGUUGGAGUCGCCACCUAGUAAUUUAUUGAAGGCUACUAGGAAACCGGAUGGACUGGUCUUGUCAGAGAUUCGCGGGUAAGGGACUGGUUGUGGUUAGGGAAGGUAUUAGCACCCCUAACGCACCCUACCUGAGGUAAGCUGCUUCGUGGCUUUAACGUGUUAAAGAAGUGUUAAUAAUUGUCUUUUCAUCGGAAAUUAGAAAUAUCACUUACGUAUAAGUUAAUAAUUCUUAACCGUGAUCCGAUCAAAAAAUUAAAUUCUUCUUUAAUAUAUUUGCAAUUUUGUCAUUCAAAACUAUAUACAAAUAAAUAAAACAAAAAUACAAGCACACACAUACACUUUCACUAUUUUAUUUUUGUUUCUUUUCCUUUUCUUUUCUUUUCUUUUCUUUUCUUUUACAUCCAUAUUUACAAAAUACAAAUUACAAAAACUGAAAACUAAACAAAUAUUACAUCAAACCAUUUGGAAAUUACAAAAAUGACCCAAAACAAAUUCAGGAACAAUUCUGGGCUACAUUCUGGGCUGCCUGAACAGUAGCGGCGCGUCUUCCCACGCGCCACCGCCACUGGCGGCGCGUGGGUUCACGCGCCGCCGCUGGAAAACCGGGAAAACCAGGGGUGUAUAGAGCGGCUUCCUCCCCUCUUCAUUUUUCUGUCGGCGGUGACCUAAAAACAAAACCCAACACCCAACAAGCAAUUGAUUUUUAGUUUGUUUUAGAUCUGUUUUUAUUACUUCUUUUUUUCUCGAUCUGCUCCUUCAGAUCGUCUUCUCCCCGGGUCAGAUCGUUAGGUGUUUCUUCUUCUUCUCUUCUGCUUCAGGUGGCGCCCAGUAUGUCCAAGGGGGCGGCCGGCGACUGAGCUUCGGUGUGGAGAGGAGAGUCGCCCCCCGGCUACUCAUGCGGUCUGUUACCCGCUGGAUCGGGUAGAUCACCGACCCUUCUUUCUCCUUCGGCUGACAGUGAGGAGGCAGAGAAAGGGGCUGGUCUUCGGGAUGUGGUGGUCGGCUAGUGUGGGAAGGAGACGGGUCCGUGGCUGGCCGCUUCUGUGGAGGAGACGCCGCUGCAAGGCUGGUCGGGCGGAGAUGAAGAGGACAGCGAGGCUGCUGCUGGUGGCUUGGGUUCAGUGGAAGCCGGUCCGGCCACUGGUCUGUGGGGAGGAGAAAAAUGGGGAAUGGAGGCCUUACGGCUGCUGGAAGGUCCGGUUGAAGAAGGAAAACAAAAGCUGAGGGAGGUGGCGGUGUGGCUUGGCCAGCCGGCUGGAGAAGAGGAAGAAGAAAAAUAAACUGGUGGGUUUGGGGGCUGUUUGGCCGGGUGUGGGGGAGCUGUGGCUGGGGGAAGGAAGAAAAAAUAAAAAAUCCAAAGGGUGGGGGGCUCCGGCGGCUGCCUUUGGUUAGAGAUGGAUUUUAGGGUUUUUUGUUGUAUUUUCUGGUGUUUCCAAAAUUAGCCCCCCCUUGAAUGUGAGUUGAAGACCAGUAUUUAUAAGCAAAAUGUUGCUAGGUUUUUCAACUUGGUCCCUCAACUUCUUCUUUUUUUUUUGUAAAUUUUGAUUUUUUUUAUUUUUUUAUAUUUUUUGAAAACGAGCAAUAUCAACGUCAACUCAAUAAGAAAAAACAAUGAUUUUAAAAAUGACACGUGAAAAGGCGAACGCGUUUGAAAAAUUAAAUUCUUUUUUAGACGACGUUGAAAAUGCUAAAAUGGCGAGAGUAUAUUAAAAAACAUAUUUUUUUAGAUUUCAUUGUUUUUUUUUUAUUUUUGAAUUUUUUGAAAAUAUAUCAAAAACAUGGAUCAAAAAUUGGGUAGCAACAACUGUCACAGCAGCAGAAUAUAAACUUGGAAAAACCGACUGACGCUUCUCAAACUACUAAACAUAACUUAAAUGCAAUGCUAAUGGAGGAAAUCUGCCAAGAUAUCUAUAAUUAGUCGCUAAGAAUUCAAUGGUUGCCCACUGCAUCAAGAUGCUUCCAUACACUACCAGUCUGCACCACCAUCAUGUUCUCGUGAUCUACAAAAACUCGGAGUAUUCUCCACAUGUCUGAAUUUCAGUUAAUCCACUAACGUUUCUGCCCGUAAGUCCUUUUUUUUUCCCCCCAUUUUCUUAAUCUAGAAAACUCGAAUGACAUUUGAGACAUUGUCUUGCUGAGUUGGGGCCGUAUGAAAGCGGUGUUGGGUUUUUUUGUAUAACAACUCUUUAUUUUUUAAUUUAUUUUCUAUCUAGCUAUUACAUGUUAAUACUCUAUGUAUACCAUGCACUUUUAUAAUCAAAGGGUGCUGAAAAACCAUGGUAUUAUUUUUCUUAAUGUUCAUUUAUUCUGAUAUAUAUCACACUAAUUUGAAUGAUGAGAUUCCAAUAUUCAUUAAGGGGCCACAUUGGCAUGCAUCUAGAAGGGAUUGAAUCUAUGAAUUCACCAAUUAUGAGUUGGGUGCUUUAACCAUUCAACCGUGGAUGAUUAGUGGGGAUAUACCUCGUACAUGGUGAAUAACUAAAUUCGCAAAUAUUCCACUGCGAUUGCCAAAGUUAAUUGGUCAAAUCUGAAGACAUCUAUCACCACCGCAACCAUCUUAUCCUUCUUAUAAUGACCAAUAAGAGAACGAUUACGAUGAACGUGGGAGAUGGGUCGAAGACUUUGAACAAAAUGGUUUAGAUAUUGCAUUACUAUCACAAAUAACUUCUUUGGAAGAAAAAACGAUUUGAUUGAAUACAAUGUUCAUGUACGCAUCUCUUUAGAUUUUUCAAAGUGUAGAGAACGCGUGGUUGCAAAUAAUGGAUGGUUAUCAAGUCCCCUUCAGUUUCUUUCGUAAUAAGCACCAAAAAAAAAGAAAUUCAUAUAUUUUUCUUAAUUUUCUUAUAUUCUGAUAUGAAUAUACCACACUAAUUUGUUAUGUAUGGAUGAUGAGAUUCCAAUAUUCAUUAAGGGGUCUCGUUGGCAUACAUCUAGUAGGGAUUGAAUCUAUGAAUUCACCAAUUAUGAGUUGGGUGCUUUAACCAUUCAACCGUGGAUGAUUAGUGGGGAUAUACCUCGUACAUGGUGAAUAACCAAAUUCGCAAAUAUUCUACUGCGAUUGCCAAAGUUAAUUGGCCAAAUCUGAAGACGUCUAUCACCACCACAACCAUCUUAUCCCUCUUAUAAUGACUAAUAAGAGAAUGAUUACGAUGAACGUGGGAGAUGGGUCGAAGACUUUGAACAGAAUGGUUUAGAUAUUGCAUUACUAUCACAAAUACCUUCUAUGGAAGCAAACACGAUUUGAUUGAAUACAAUGUUAAUCUGUUUAGAUUUUUCAGAGUGCAGAGAAUGCGUGGCUGCAAAUAAUGGAUAGUUAUCAAUUCCCCUUCAGUUUCUUUCGUAAAGCGCCAGCGCCAAAAAAUAGAAGAAAGAAAUUCAUAGCUUAUGAACUAAAUAAUUGGGUCAGGGAACUGAUUAAUUACUCAGAUACUAAAUAAUUUGACCUGUUUACUUUUCCACCCUCAUAGUUUUCAUGGAGAAAAUGAUUUAAGAAUAAUAUGACGAAUGAACUUCAUAAUAACGCCAAGAUCUUACAUUCAUUGCCAUAAAUGAAUGAAGAAACAGAUUUCUUUCUUAUCAUUUUAAUAAUUCUUUAAGCAAGUGGUUGAGAAGUUUGUUUACACAAUGAUUUUCCUUCUUUACAUGGUUUCCUUUGUGUUCUCGUCUUUUCUUUAGCUGAAUAAUCAAUUAAAGGCAGGGAUAAACAACACAUAAGAGCCUUGCUCAACUCAAAUCAUUUAGCAAUAAAAUACAUGACUGUCACAGCAGCACAAUAUAAAAUUGGAAAAACCGACUGACGCAUCUUAAACUACUAAACAUGACUUAAAUGUAAUGCUAAGAAAUCUGCCAAGAUAUCAUCUAUAAUUAGUCGCUAAGAAUUUAGUGACAGAACACCACUACUCAAACAUCUGAAUACCAAUGUUUGCCCACUGCAUCAACUUGCUCAGUUGGGGCCGUAUCAGAGCUGUGUUGGGUUUUUUCUUUUUGUAGUGCUUUUGAGUUAGAUUUCAUUUGCGUGCGUUUUGGGUGAUAGGUUUGUUCGUAGGAGUUUUUGGAAAGAUGGGUUCAGGUUCGUGAUUGAACUUGUGAUGUAAUUCAAUGGAUCCAAAAGUUUGAAGCAGAUCACUUUUGAAGAUGUUAAUGUAAUUCAACUUCCAUUUUGAACAUUGCCGAACCGUUGUAAAUCCACCAGAGUACUGAUCUUUUUUCACUUCCUAAAACAUGUAAUUCAACUUCCAUGUUAAUAUUCCACUGCGAUUGCCAAAGUUAACUGGCCAACUCUGAAGAGUCUAUCACCACCACAACCAUCUUAUUCCUCUUAUAAUGACUAAUAAGAGAACGAUUACGAUGAACGUGGGAGAUGGGUCGAAGACUUUGAACAGAAUGGUUCGAUUGAUUAGUGGGGAUAUACCUCGUACAUGGUGAAUAACCAAAUUCGCAAAUAUUCUACUGCGAUUGCCAAAGUUAAUUGGCCAAAUCUGAAGACGUCUAUCACCACCACAACCAUCUUAUCCCUCUUAUAAUGACUAAUAAGAGAAUGAUUACGAUGAACGUGGGAGAUGGGUCGAAGACUUUGAACAGAAUGGUUUAGAUAUUGCAUUACCAUCACAAAUAACGUCUUUGGAAGCAAACACGGCUCGAUUGAAAGCAAUGAAAAUGUACGUAUCUGUUCAGAUUUUUCAGAGUGCAGAGAAUGCGUGGCUGCAAAUAAUGGAUAGUUAUCAAGUCCCCUUCAGUUUCUAUCGUAAAGCGCCAAAACAAAAAAAGAAGAAAUUCAUAGCUUAUGAGCUAAAUAAUUGGGUCAAGGAACAGAUUAAUUACUCAGAUACUAAACAAUUUGGCCUGUUUACUUUUCCACCCUCAUAGUUUUUGUCGCACCCCAAAAAAAAUCCUGGGCGCGCAGCAUCGGCUGGCGAUUUAAAUCUCGUUUGUUGCGCUUGCUUUGAAUUUGGUUCGUUGGAGUCGCCACCUAGUAAUUUAUUGAAGGCUACUAGGAAACCGGAUGGACUGGUCUUGUCAGAGAUUCGCGGGUAAGGGACUGGUUGUGGUUAGGGAAGGUAUUAGCACCCCUAACGCACCCUACCUGAGGUAAGCUGCUUCGUGGCUUUGACGUGUUAAAGAAGUUUUAAUAAUUGUCUUUUCUUCGGAAAUUAGAAAUAUCACUUACGUAUAAGUUAAUAAUUCUUAACCGUGAUCCGAUCAAAAUAUUAAAUUCUUCUUUAAUGUAUUUGCAAUUUCAUACUUAAAAAUAUAUACAAAUAAAUAAAACAAAAUACAAACACACACAUACACUUUCACUAUUUUUAUUCUUUUCUUUUCUUUUCUUUUCCUUUUCUUUUACAUCCACAAAAUACAAAUACAAAUAUAAAUACAAAUUCAAAAUAAAUAAAUAAAAAUACACCAACACACACAUCCCCUUUGUUAUUAUUAUUUUCUUUUCUUUUCUUCUUUUUUUUUCUUUUACAUUCAAAUACUAUAAAUUUAAAAUAAAUAAACAAAAAUUACAUUAAAACUUUAAAAUAUACAAAAUGGUCCCUAAACAAUCCAUAACAGUACUGGGAAACCCUUCAGGAACAGUUCUGGGCUGCCUGAACAGUAGCGGCGCGUGGACCCCACGCGCCGCCAGUCAGUCAGGCAGCGUGAGGGGGGGGCUGUAAUGCUUCCUCCUCUCUUCGAUCUCUUCACCUGCAAAUCCAAAAAAAACACCACAUCCAGUUGAUUUUAAUUUUUAUUUCAUUUGUCUUCGAAAUCUGCUUCGGCUUUUCUUUUGUUCUUUUUCAAAUCUGCUCCGUGUCUCUGCCUCCUUCCUUCUCGGUUUCAGGAGGGUCGGUUUUGUUAUGGGUUUAUCUUCUUCUCCUCUGCUUCGGGUAGAGGGGCGGCGGCUGCUGGGUUCGGCUUGAGGAGGAGCCGCGGGGCUGGUUCGUUCGGCUGAAGAAAAACCCAAAUCCAAGGAUGGCGUUGCUGCUGGAGGAAGAAGGCUGACCGGUUUGGGGAUCUGUGGGUGCCGUUGUUGGUGUUGUUGCUGAGGGAGAGAGAUGUUGGAGUCGCCGGGGAAGGUCGGUCUGCUCCUGGUGUUGCUUCUCUGUCACCAACGGUGGACAAUGGAGAAAGAAAAGGGAGAGUGGCCGGGGCUGUGUGGGUUGCUGUGGUUGGCUGGAGCUGGAGAAGGAAAAGUGAAGGCUGUCUUGGUUGAGGGAGAAGAGGAAAAAUCCAAAACUAAAGGGGGCCGGCGGCUGGAGUGGUUAAAGAAGAGGGUUGUUUCCAAGGUCAGGGGGAGCGGCUGAAGGAAGAAAAAAUAAUUCAGGGGGGCUGUUUGGUGAUCGGCUGCUGUGGGGAUGAAGAAGGGGGAAAAUAAUCCGGGUGGAUUUGGAAGGGCUGUUUGGCCGGUUUCCAAAGAAAAAAAUUCAGUUCGGGUGAGGGGCUGUGUGGGGGAAAAAAAUGAAUUGGCUCCGACGACUGGAAAAAAUUAAAACCAGAAGGGGGGGGGCGGCUGCUCUUCAAAAAGAUUAGGUUUAGGUUUUUUGUAUUUUUUUUUGUGUUUCCAAAAUUAACCCCCUGCCUUUUGCAAGUGUUGGAAACCAGUAUUUAUAGACAAAAUGUUUGCUAGGUUUUUCAACUUGGUCCCUCAACUUCUUUCUUUUUUGUAAAUUUUGAUUUUUCUUAUUUUUUUUUGUAUUUUUUGAAAACGAGCAAUAUCAACGUCGACUCAAAUGCGGAAAAUCAAUGAUUUUAAAAAAUGACGCGUGAAAAGUCGAACGCGUUUGAAAAUCUUUUAACAAUUUAAAUUCUUUUUUAUACGACGUUGACAAUGCUAAAAUGACGAAAAUAUAUUAAAAAACAUUUUUUGAAUUUUCUUUGUUUUUCUCAAUUGUUUUGGAUUUUUUGAAAAUAUAUCAAAACAUGGGUCAAAAAUUGGGUAGCAACAGAUGCCCCCUCUUUACAAUGCUUACGCAGCAAAACUCCUCAAAAUUUUGCAUAGUAAGCUUUGUAAAGAAAACAAAAGGAAAAUGAUUUCAUUAUCUUGGGCGACCUGCCCACACACUCACACUGAUCUAUUUUCACGGGCGACCUGCCCACACAUACUCACUCAAGUCUAUUUUCAUGGGUGACCGACCCACACUCUCCCAAUAGUCUAUUUUCACGGGCGACCUGCCCACACAUUGGGUUUACCUGAGAUCCCAUCUGGCGACCUCAUUCAACUGGAACGAAAAUAUUGUGUAACUCGGUUAACCUGAAAUCCCAUCUGGCGAUUCCCUUUAACCAAAGCUACAUGAGAUCCCAUCUGGCGACCUCAUUCAAUUAGAACGAAAUAUGCGUAACUCGAUUAACCUGAAAUCCCAUCUGGCGAUUCCCUUUAACCAAAGUUACAUGAGAUCCCAUCUGGCGACCUCAUUCAACUGGAACGAAAUAUGUGUAACUCGGUUAACCUGAAAUCCCAUCUGGCGAUUCCCUUUAACCAAAGCUACAUGAGAUCCCAUCUGGCGACCUCAUUCUGGUCUCAUUGUACGGGUGACUAACCCUCGAAAAAUGCUGGUCUCAUUGUACGGGUGACGAACCCUAGUGCUGCUGGUCUCAUUGUACGGGUGACGAACCCUAGUGCUGGUCUCAUUGUACGGGUGACGAACCCUAGUGCUGGUCUCAUUGUACGGGUGACGAACCCUAGAAAAAUGCUGGUCUCAUUGUACGGGUGACGAACCCUAGAAAUAUGAUGGUCUCAUUGUAUGGGUGACGAACCCAAAAAAAUGAUGGUCUCAUUGUAUGGGUGACGAACCCCAGAAAAAUGAUGGUCUCAUUGUAUGGGUGACGAACCCAGAAAUAUGAUGGUCUCAUUGUAUGGGUGACGAACCCAAGAAAAAUGAUGGUCUCAUUGUAUGGGUGACGAACCCAGAUGGAAAAAAUGUGAAGUGCGGUCUUAUUGUAAUGGGUGACCUACCCACGUGGAAAAAAAAUGAAGUGUGGUCUCAUUGUAAUGGGUGACCUACCCAGAUGGAAAAAAUAUGAUGAAGUGGUCUCGUUGUGAUGGGCGACCUACCCAAAUAGAAAGAAUGUGAAAUGCGGUCUCAUUGUAAUGGGUGACCUACCCAGAUGGAAAAAAUGUGGAAAAUUGCGGUCUCAUUGUCAUGGGUGACCUACCCGGAUGGAAAAAAUAUGAAGAACGGUCUAUUGAUGGGCGACCUACCCGAUGGAAAAAAUGUGAAAACGGUCUUAUUAUGAUGGGCGACCUACCCAGAUGGAAAAAAUGUGAUAUGACAAGUGUGAAAAAUAGGACUUACCUGGCGAAGUUCUGAAGGGAUGACAGAAGAAGGGCUGGAAAACUUGGUGCUUCCUGAUAAUUCCGAUCAUAGGGUUUGAAAACUCGGUGUUUCCUGACUGCAAGGGUUGAAAACUCGAGGCUUCCCGAUUGCAAGGUUGAUCUUUUCAUUUCUUUGGGAUUUUCCUAAUGGUAGGGUUCAUCCCAUCGUCCUUUUAUUCCAUGAUCAAAACCGAUUCUUUAUUAUCAUCACCACAAUGCUUCUUUCUCUUUCCACCAUCUUGCUGGACCUCAUUAAGGAUUUUCCUGUAACAAUUCAAAAAUAUGUGCAAAUGUUUUUUUUUUUUUUUUUUUUUUUUAGGUUAGAUGAUAUGCAUGCAUCCUUACCUGAUUUGAAAAUAGGUCCCCCCUCUUUGAUGCUCCAUCGUCAUAGGGUGCCCUUGUUUGUAUCCCAAAGCUUUCUUUGUUCUUCCGAUGCAUUGGCUCAUUCAUGUGCUAGCCAUCCACUCAGCUGUAAAUGCAGUGCCCAUCCCGGGCUGUCUUCGACAAUUACUGCUUGCAUCGUUCAUCAAGCUUGACCCUGCCCCAAGUGUGGUACUGCUUGAUUCAUCAUGAAGGAUUUUCUCUCCUGGCUUCUUCUGAGAAUUAUCCUCUGAUUGAUUGUGUGCAUCAUGCCAACACCAUCAAGAUUGUUAAUCAGUCAUGAACUUGCCUCUAGUUGAAACAGUACUCUUCAAGUACAUGUUAUCAUCAGCCUUCUUGGAACUCAUCAGUCAUCCAGACAUGCAUCUCAUAGCUUGCAGUACAAAGGCUAUGGUUGUAUGCUCAGUGCUCUUCUCAUAGAUUCCUUUCAACUCUUCUAAUCAGAUUGUGAAAAGAAAUGUCUCAGCCUCAUCAAUGAUGCUGCUUUUUAUCCCCAUACUCAUGCGGUGAAGCGCUCAUCUGGCUUCAGAACAAGUUGUCCCACAAUCAGUCUUCGAGGUGGGUGCCUUUCCGACAUUCAUUCAGUGCAGUUGUGUGAUAACAUCGUCUCUAACCAUGUUUCAAAGAAUGACAAUAUGAGAUUGUCCUUUAAGUGCAGCAUUGUUCCACAGUCAGUCUUGGUGGUGUGCAUCUUUUCACCAUUCAAUUACAUUCAUCUGUGAUUGCUAGCCAUGUUUCAAAAGAUGAUGAUAUGAAAGUGUCCUUCAAGUACAUCCUUGUUUCUCCAUUGCCGACAUGGUUCACUGGAGCAUGGGCCAUGACAUUGCCCCCAGUAUGAUCUGAAUGUGCUCGUUCAUUGAUUAUCUGUCUUUGAACAUCAUUGUCUUCAGUUCAUGAUUCAUCAUUUAAUCAUUGCCUCAUAGUUCACUGAUUCAUCAUUUAAUCAUUGCCUCAUAGCUGAUCUGAGCACUGCUUGUUUUUCCUUUUCAAGGUCUACUGUAUUGCCCCAGCUGCUCAACUUUUCAAGGAGUGUCGAGGACUUCAAUGUCAUUUCUAUCAAUGAUUUUGCAUACUCAAUCAAUGUUCUUCUGUGUUUGAUAAUCUUCCUUAUCUGGAAUCAACUCUCAUAUUUCAAAGAUCAUGUCUAUUCAAAGUCUAGUUUGUUGAAAUGAAAUCAGAGAUGUCCUUUUUUAAAAUCUUUUAAAAUCAAGCUUUUUGAUCAAAGACCCAACAUACGUUAUUCGAAAUACACAGUCCUUUGAUUGUCUUGUAUUUUGAAAACAGAAAUGACCCGUUGUAGAUUAAAAUGGUUUUUCCAUGGUUCUUUAUAUCAUUUGAACUUGAUUUGGGUAUAUCAUUUGAUAGUCUGUGAUGAGGUGACAUUUUUAUGAAUUUCAAAAACAAGCUGCUCAGGCUUUAUCAAGAAAGGUUGUUUCUCUUCUUAUAGCUUAUUUUAUCAGCAUGCAUAAUAACCAAUAGCUUAAUUCAUGAAGUCACGACCCUUAUGGAAAAACUCUUCAAAUUUUGAGAGCGCCAUUUAUCAGUUCAAAUUGUUUGCUUGAUUAAAAAGGGCUUUUAAAAGUACGUAAUGCAGGCUAUGGUUCGUGGCUAUGAAAGAAAGGAAUUUUAAAGGCUCAAAAGGUGUUUGAGGGUUUCAACGACCUAGGACCAACAUUAACUAUUCAUCGAUUCUCUUUCUCUUGUUGUCAUUGUAAAGAGAGUGACAUAUAACCUUGUUAAUCUUCAAAUAGAAUUCUCUUAACAUAGGUCAUAAUCUCAAUCCAACUUUUUCUUUGAUGAAUAACUAAUCUAAAUCAUCUGAUAACAUCGUAGGUUUUAUAAUGGAUACCAAAAGUCAACGCUUAUAGCUUAGUCUUUUUCUGGUAUUGACUUUUGUUGUGCCUUUCCUGAUUGAAAUUUCUUUUGCUCUUCAUAGACUUGAUAGGCAUUCUCCUUCCUUUAUCUUUGACUUGUCUUUAAGUGAGGGCAAUUUCAACUUCCCUUUUUUUCAUUCUCUUUUUUUUUUUUUUUAUAGCCUUCCUCAAAACUUUCUUAUAUGCCCCCAGUCUACGUGUCUUCUUUUAGCUCUCUCUCAAUCAUUGGACCUUUGUUCUAAGCCUUCCCCUUUAUCCAUUAAUUAUAUCAAUGUCUCCAAAAUAUCUCUCAUUUGCCCCCAAUGUGGGGUGUGAUCCUAGUCAGGGUUUCCUUUUUUGAAAGAAAAUAUUUUACCAGGCUCAAAAUGGGACUGCAAGGGAUAUAAUCUUUAGAAAGUGAAGGGAUAUCAAAGAUGGCCUUUUCUCAUUUCAAGCAAGGUCGGUUAGAACCGAUAAAUUUUGACCUCAUCUAGUGUAAUGAUUGGGACUUGUAAGAAUCAUGAUUCACGAGUCCAUAACUACCGAAUCCACUACAUGUCAUUAUGCAUACUGUUAAAACUUAGCUAUAUGAUGUGUGGUUCAGUUUCAGGAGGUAUGAGUUCAAAAUUGUUUAGUCACCUCAUGUCAUUUCUGUAAUCAAAACACUUUAAUCUUCCGGAUUGAUUAACCUUUAUCGCAUGUUGAGUUUGAUCAAAAUAUUUUGUCAGAAUAAAAUGCUAAACAUCUGUUGAUUUCAAAACAACAAAGAGACAAAAGCAAGGCAUGUUUCGUUGAAGGAUGAGAUGUGAUCCCAAAACAAAAUGCAGAAUUCCAUAACAAUAUGAUUGACUGUUCAUCACCUUCUCGAAUCAGCUUUUCUGGCAAUAUCUGUGUUUUGCCAAGCAUUUUCGAUCACAUGUCCUUCUGAAGAUGUUCGGGGAACAAUAUAGCCAGUGACACCCUUCUUCAACGACUCCACCUGUCUCUUGCUCACCAACUUCCAGACUCAAUUCUUGCUAUUCUUGAAACUGUUCACUUGAAAUGGUUGAGGACCCCACCAUGACAUCACAUCUCUUAUCUGGAUUAUACCACUAAGAAAUUGGUGGUUGCAUGGGAAUUUGUCGGAGUCAAGCAAAAUUCUGGAAUCUUGCGGAUGCUGGUCGACAACUUAAACGGCAGAGCAAUGUCCCAUCUUGGCAAAGAUAUUUUGAGCAAUUGAUGAUGCCGUGAGACCUGGCUAUACCACAUAAUUAAGGGUUCACACUGUCAAAGUCAUCUCCUGAUUCACCUCUCAUCAUUGUUCUAGAAUCCAUGGCAGAUCCUUCAAUCUUCCAAUGUUGCUAUGGUUGGUUGAGGAUUGUUAGAAAACUUUCUAACAGCUUGGUAAUCUUGGCAGCAUCCAGAAACUUGUAGUAUCGCCACUACCGACGUGUGGAAUCACACAUUGUCUUUAUUGGAAGAGCACCUGAUGACUCUAAAACUCCAUUGUCCCGUCUUCGAUUUCUCACUGACAGUGCAGCAAACAAACACCUAUAGAGGAAGUCCUGCUCUGUUGAAGUUUCAGUAUUCUUCAUGUUUUUCAGUCUAGGCAUGUAUCUUCUCUCUACUUUUGCAUUUUAAUACUGACACUGUUGGAGAAAAAUCAUAAAUGAUCUGAAACUACUGUAUUCCUUCUUGGAUUUCACACUUGCGGAUCCACAAACAGAUUCCUGUCGGGAGAGCUCUGCUACGUUGAAGUUUGAUGUCUGCUCAUAUUUUUCAAGCCAAGUCUGGCUCUUCAACCUGCUAUAGUUUCUUCGUGCUGAAACUGAUGAGAGAAAUAUUUGUAGCAUAUGCAAUUAGUAAAUCCCCUCUUGCAUUCCCAAUUUGCAGAGCCAUAAAUGGAUUUUUGUAGAGAGAGCUCUGCCACAUUGAAGUUUGACAACUACUAAUAUUAUCAGACCAGGUCUGACUCUUCUGCCUACUACAAUGUUUUGCUGGUGCCACUGGUGGGAAAUAGUUUCAAAGCAUAUGAAAUUAAUACAUUCCCUUUUGCAUUUGCCAUUGACAGAUCCACAAAUAAAUCUCUACAGAGAGAGCUCUACCGCGUUGAAAUUCAGUGUCUGAUCAUGGUUUUUUUUUUUUUAGACCAACAUCUUGUGCUGCUGAACUGGAAUUGAGCUCAUAAUUGGGGUAACUUCAAAGCAGACUAAUGCACCAUGCACAGGAGGUUAGUAGUCGUUUGGUUCCAUUAGAUGAUGUGGAGGCGAUGAAUACUUAACAGCGCAACUGGACAGGAAUCAGAGUUGUUAUUAGUUGAUGACUGAAGGCGUUGUUGCUGUUGUUCAUGACUGAAAAGGAAAGGUACAGUCUUCAAUUGGACGUGAACAAGCAGUGUUCCCACAGAAAACUGUGCAGACAUUCUCUUUUCAUUUGAUGCUCAACACUUGUUCGAGCAGAUCUGAGUCCCGCUACUUCACUCUUGAUGCUCUCAACCUUAAUCUGAUACUGAACCUAUAUCUGACUCCUUUGUUCACUUCCAUUAUUUUUCUUCAAUCUCGUGCAGCACAACUUGUACAAGGGACCUACGUUUCGACCCGGUUCAUGCAUGAUAAAUGUAUGAACAUGUAAUCUAUAUGAUGAACUCUCCCUUCGAGAGGUGACAAUAUGGUCGUAACUCUUGUAUGAUGGACAAGAAUCGUGAUUUUUGCCCAAACUCUACAAUGAAAAUUUUCGGAGCAACGGCCAAUGUGUCACCCACAAGUCUUGAGUUCAAGAUGCUUCAAGAAGGGUUUGCCCUUAUGCAAAAAACGAUAGCACAUACAACCUAAGGACAGGUUCUAUUCAUUAUGUGAACAUGGGUAAGUUUUCUAUCUGGUCUCAAAAGGGUCUCAUAUCUGCCCAGUGACGUUCUUCGUAAAGACAGUUUGGGGGCGUUGCAAGGAAUGGUUAAGGUACGUAUACCCACCAUUACCAAGCAGGCACUCAGAUAUGAGUUGGGUGUUUCACGCAUCUGAACCCUGACCAAUAGUCUUAGGGCAGAUCGCUAGUUCCCCACCUAACCUAGAAGCUUGUGUGUGCUUUUAAAAAUAAAUACAGGUGAUGCAUGAGACAAUUCUAUAAAAUGCAUGGAAAUAAAUAUUAACAAAAAGAUAAAAAUGCAAAAACUUAAACACAUCAAAUACACAAAGCUUAGUCCAAUAAUCGAAAAAAUACCUUCCCCAGUGGAGUCGCCAUUCUGUCGCACCCCAAAAAAAUCAGCGCGCGCAUCGGCUGGCGAUUUAAAUCUCGUUGUUGCGUUUGCUUGAAUUUGGUUCGUUGGAGUCGCCACCUAGUAAUUAUUGGGCUACUAGGAAACCGGAUGUACUGGUCUUGUCAGAGAUUCGCGGGUAAGGGACUGGUUGUGGUUAGGGAAGGUAUUAGCACCCCUAACGCACCCUACCUGAGGUAAGCUGCUUCGUGGCUUUGACGUGUUAAAGAAGUUUUAAUAAUUGUCUUUUCUUCGGAAAUUAGAAAUAUCACUUACGUAUAAGUUAAUAAUUCUUAACCGUGAUCCGAUCAAAAUAUUAAAUUCUUCUUUAAUUAUUUGCAAUUUCAUCUAAAAUAAUACAAAUAAAUAAAACAAAAUACAAACACACACAUACACUUUCACUAUUUUUUUCUUUUCUUUUCUUUUUCUUUCUUUUACAUCCACAAAUACAAAUACAAAUAUAAAUCAAAUUCAAAAUAAAUAAAUAAAAAUACACCAACACACACAUCCCCUUUUUAUUAUUAUUUUCUUUUCUUUUCUUCUUUUUUUUUUUACAUUCAAUAUACAAAUUUAAAAUAAAUAAACAAAAAUUACAUUAAAACUUUAAAAUUUACAAAAUGGUCCCUAAACAAUCCAUAACAGUACUGGGAAACCCUUCAGGAACAGUUCUGGGCUGCCUGAACAGUAGCGGCGCGUGGACCCCACGCGCCGCCAGUCAGUCAGGCAGCGUGAGGGGGGCUGUAAUGCUUCCUCCUCUCUUCGAUCUCUUCACCUGCAAAUCCAAAAAAAAACACCACAUCCAGUUGAUUUUAAUUUUUUUCAUUUGUCUUCGAAAUCUGCUUCGGCUUUUCUUUUGUUCUUUUUCAAAUCUGCUCCGUGUCUCUGCCUCCUUCCUUCUCGGUUUCAGGAGGGUCGGUUUUGUUAUGGGUUUAUCUUCUUCUCCUCUGCUUCGGGUAGAGGCGGCGGCUGCUGGGUUCGGCUUGAGGAGGAGCCGCGGGCUGGUUCGUUCGGCUGAAGAAAAACCCAAAUCCAAGGAUGGCGUUGCUGCUGGAGGAAAGGCUGACCGGUUGGGGAUCUGUGGGUGCCGUUGUUGGUGUGUUGCUGAGGGAGAGAGAUGUUGGAGUCGCCGGGAAGGUCGGUCUGCUCCUGGUGUUGCUUCUCUGUCACCAACGGUGGACAAUGGAGAAAGAAAAGGGAGAGUGGCCGGGGCUGUGUGGGUUGCUGUGGUUGGCUGGAGCUGGAGAAGGAAAAGUGAAGGCUGUCUUGGUUGAGGGAGAAGAGGAAAAAUCCAAAACUAAAGGGGGCCGGCGGCUGGAGUGGUUAAAGAAGAAGAGGGUUGUUUCCAAGGUCAGGGGGAGCGGCUGAAGGAAGAAAAAAUAAUUCAGGGGGGCUGUUUGGUGAUCGGCUGCUGUGGGGAAGAAGGGGGAAAAUAAUCCGGGUGGAUUUGAAGGGCUGUUUGGCCGGUUUCCAAAGAAAAAAAUUCAGUUCGGGUAGGGGCUGUGUGGGGGAAAAAAAUGAAUUGGCUCCGACGACUGGAAAAAAUUAAAACCAGAAGGGGGGGCGGCUGCUCUUCAAAAAGAUUAGGUUUAGGUUUGUAUUUUUUUUUGUGUUUCCAAAAUUAACCCCCUGCCUUUUGCAAGUGUUGGAAACCAGUAUUUAUAGACAAAUGUUUGCUAGGUUUUUCAACUUGGUCCCUCAACUUCUUUCUUUUUGUAAAUUUUGUUUUUCUUAUUUUUUUUGUUUUUUUGAAAACGAGCAAUAUCAACGUCGAUCAAUGCGAAAAAUCAAUGAUUUUAAAAAAUGACGCGUGAAAAGUCGAAUGCGUUUGAAAAUAUUUUAACAAUUUAAAUUCUUUUUUAGACGACGUUGACAAUGCUAAAAUGACGAAAAUAUAUUAAAAAACAUUUUUUGAAUUUUCUUUGUUUUUCUCAAUUGUUUUGGAUUUUUUGAAAAUAUAUCAAAACAUGGGUCAAAAAUUGGGUAGCAACAGUUUUCAUGGAGAAAAUGAUUUAAGAAUAAUAUGACGAAUGAACUUCAUAAUAACACCAUGAUCUUACAUUCAUUGCCAUAAAUGAAUGAAGAAUAGAUUUCUUUUUCUUAUCAUCUUAAUAGUUCUUUAAGCAAGUGGUUGAGAAGUUUGUUUAUAAAAUGAUUUUCCUUCUUCACAUGGUUUCCUUCGUGUUCACGUCUUUACUUUGGCUGCAUAAUCAAUUAAUGGCAGGGAUAAACAGCACAUACGAGCCUUACUCAGCUCAAAUCAAUUUUCCCAUAAAAACUGUUAAAAGAAAGGUCUAGAUAAUUCAUUUUCGUAAGAUUUCGAAUCUCAGAAGGGAUUUUAGAGUUGUUGAAGUCGUUGUCGGCAAGAUUCAGCCUUCUGAGCUGAACAAUGUGGAAGAGGCUGCUAUUAGAUAUUCGAUGGAGCCAUAGAGACAGCUGCUACUGAGGUCAAGGCCAAUCACAUGACAGCUGCUACUGAGGUCAGGGCCAAUCACAUGACCAGUGUCCCCAUCGCAUUCAACACCAUCCCAUGAGCAGCAGUCAGCACUUUCUUCAUCAACUUAAUAAUCAAGAAAAUAUCACACAACAAUGAUAAUUAAACCUGGAAUUUAAGGUUAGCGGGUCUACAUACCUCGAUUAGAAGCUCAGGGACCAACAUCAGUAAAAGAGAAAGAAUUACGGGCUGAACCGAAUCAAAUGGUGUCCAACCGAAGAAACAGACAUGGCGCUCGUGGCACAUGUAAAGACCGUUCGAGAUGCACUUUCCGCGCGUGUGCCUAAUUCCGUUUCGGACCGGAGUGGAAGUCAAGGCAUUGGAAUUUAUGCAGCCAAACGAUCUUCAUGGGACGGUGCGUGUUAUAUUUAUCCAGUCGGUGGAUGGCAUCAAGCUCCGCCAAAGCUUCUCGUAGCCCCCAGCACCCAUCCAUAAAAGAGCUUAUGAUCUGCUUAAUAUUUCAUGAGGAAUAUAUUGUCUUACAGAGCUUUCAUGUUGCUGCUAUUACAUAUUAGGUAUCAAGUGAUGAAGCCGUUGAAACUAACAAACUGAUUGCUUUGAAAGAAGGUUUGCUGGUAUGCCUAGAACUGUCAUGGACAUCAUAUUUCUCCAUUUAUGAUGAAAACCAGUCCUUUUCCAUGUAGGUGGGAAUAUCGUCUGGUGCCACCACAGAUGCUGCUAUAAAGUUGGCAAAAAGACCAGAAAAUGCUGGGAAACUGGCUGUGGCUAGUCAGAUUGGCUUGCUUCAAGUGGCAUUUGAACUGAACUGAAAAUUUCCUAAUGCUGGUAAUCAAGUGGUUUUUGCUUAGUAUCGGGGAGCAAUGUCUUUCCUCUAAACUGUUUGAUUCCAUCAGGCAAAAACCAUGACACGUUCGAUUAAGAUCUUCAGGUAUACUUAUUUGUCGGCACAGUUUCCACCAAGAAAUUCAUUUAUAGCCCUUUUCCUUCCUGUAAUUUUAGUGCUGUAUGGGCAGGGGGCUGCGCACCCCAGGUCUAAUUCUUAAAAUUGCUUUCAUGGCAAGCAUGAUACGAUGUAGAUGCAUAAGACUCCUGGCAGUCUUAUGCCUUGGGUCUUCGAUAAGAAGACUACUAUAAGGAAGAUCCUAUGCCUUAAUUACUCGUCGUUUUAUUAAUUCAAUCCAGAGCUUUGAAACAUUUAAACUAGAAUUGUACAGGCUCUCCUCAUAAGGAAGAGAACCGUCCACAAUUUGCAGUAAGCACACGGUAUUCUUUAGUAAAAGGCGAAAGAAUAGUUCACUCUGUGAUCACUACAUGGCUGCUUGAUUUCGAUGGCUGUUUGCUUAGCAUUUUAAAAUGGCUGGUUGCUGGAAACUCAUUUCCUUUUACUCCAUGUGGGACUUCGAAAAUGUAAUCAAGCUGGAAUGCCCCUUGCCCAGCACUCCAAAUCUCCAUUGAUGAGAACAAAUUAAUAAAUUUAGAAAAAUUAAGAAAAAAAAAUAAUAAAGAUUAAAUUAAAAAUAAUAAUAUAUUACAAAUUAAAAUUGAAUGAUAAAAUUAAAACCAAAUAAAAAAUUUACAAAAGUGAUAAGAACUAAAAAAAAUAAUUAAAAAAAAUCAAGAUUGAAGUUGAAAUAUUAAUAACUAAGUGAACAACUCUAAAAUUAUAAAUGAUUGAAGUGAAUUUUGAGAGGAGAAGAGAGAAAAAAAAAGAAGAAGGAAAAGACAGCCCCACCAAUGACAACUGUCUCACAAUUACUACUAUCAAAAGACCAUCUCCCAGUAACAACGUUAUAAAAAUCGCAGUGCAUUGUACUAAUAACUUGUUAGACAAAGAAUUCAGGUAGACGAUUAUGCAUGUAUAAAUAUCAUUUAGCACGUCAUAUUCAUUGCAAAAAGAAAAAGAAAAAGAAAAAGAAAGGGAGUUGUCGUUUUGGAGGAAAAGCACAAAAGCUCAAUGGGCUCGUUGGCUUUAUUGGGCUCUCCUUCUGAGCUGGGCUUACUUUGCUGAUGUUUAUUGGGCAUGGUUUUGAGACGGGCCUUCUUUUUUUCUUCUUUCUUUGCUUCCCGGUUAGGCUUUCUUUUAGUCCUACUUGGGCUUGAUUUUGUAGCCCUCUCACUAGAUCUUAAAUAUUUUUAAACGAAAACUGAAGCAUUUAAAAUUAAAAUUAAGAAAAGGUGGAACCAGUAAUCAGCUUGGAAAUCUAUUAAAGCGCUUAGAGGUGCGGUUAUUGUUGUUUUUUAAAGUAUUAUUUUUUUAUAUAAAAAUAUGUUAAUAAUAUAUUUUUAUUUUUAAAAAAUUAUUUUUGAUAUCAACACAUUAAAAUGAUUUAAAAAUAUAUAUAAAAAUAAUUUUAAAACCUUAUUUAAUUUUUUAAAAAAACAAAAUUUUAAAAAUUAUUUUUAUCCGUUUAGGGUUAUGCCGAGUUUCUAAACUGAGAGGUUCGUUUGCCCCUGGUUUUUUAUAUAUUUUUCCAAUUUUUUAUAUUUAUAGUCUUAGACUAAAUUUCUUUUCUUCAAAUUUUUACUCUUUUUUAUAUAGUUUCUAUUCUUUUAAAUUUGAUCUACAAGGGAUAAAUCAUUGAAGUGAGUGGUAUUUUUGCUUUUUAGAUAUAGAAGAGGAAGAAGAUGGAAGCAGAGUUGAUAAAUGCAGAGCUGGUGUUGCCAACACACUUCAGUUUCAAGAGGAUACAGAUAUAUGAGAAAUACCCAAAGGGACAACCAAGAGGCCGUUGGAAACACCUUAAGCAGAUUCUUCAAGCUGAAAAUUAUCAGAAUUGCCCUCCUGAUGAUGAAUGUCAUAUAAAUCAGAUCAUGAAUGAAUGAGUCAAUCACUGGCAUUAGAUUUAAGUUUUAAUGGAUCGAAAUUUAGAAAUGUCUUUGAGUAACAUCAAUGGUUAUUAUCAUCAGUUGAAUCAUAUCCUUCUGAAGUCCUUUUAUUUUGAGUGUCGGGAGGAAGAGCUACUUUGUGCGUCAAAACCUUGCUUGUUGAAUAUUUGGUGGUCUCUAAUUGAGAGAGAAUCAUCAGCUGUUAAUGAUAAUCUGCAUUUUAUUCCUUGCCUGCUAUUCAGCUAAGAUACACCUGCUGUCAUUGAACUUUUUGUGUAUGGUUUGGCUGAGCUUAAGCUUUUCUACAGUCAUAUGUUCUUUAGCUUGUUCAGUGGAAUUGAAGGAGGCUUUCCAAUCAAUUUGCAUCGUCCAAGUACCUCAUCAACUUUCUUUUAGAGUGAGAAGAUUAUUAUGAGCUGUCCAUCAUUCUGCAUAUUAUGCAUUGCCAUAAUUUGGUUGAGCUACUCCUUUAGUCAGUUGAGCUACACCGUCUCUUAAUUUUUUAUCUCAUCACAUAUAAUUUGGUUGAGCUUGAGCUUGUUUACAUCUGUACAAGCUUAUUGUCUUGAUGAAAUUGAGGAUGGAGGUAGAUUUCUUACAUAACUCAAACUAAGAACUGGUUCCUGUUUCCUGCUUGGCAAUGUUCUUUCAUAUGUCAAUUACAAGUCACAUCAUAUUUGUAAGCAAUAUUUCUGAGGAUGAAUUACAUCCUAGUACUCUAUUGCUUGUUAAAAAUGUGAAUACUGGAAGUUAGUGGGUGGAGAAAAAUUCAAAGAUAAAUUUGUUUGACCAGAUUUAACAUGUAAUCUUGCAACUUUGAUGAAGCAAAUGUGCAUGGUGCGCAUCUUCGAAGGUGCCAUGUGAUGUCCUACAACUGGAUUCCAAAUACAUCUGCUUUUUUUUAGCUGGAAGAAGCCAUGAUGUUGAGGUUUAGAUUGUUCAGGAUCGAGCAUGGUGCUCAAGAUUGUGCUGACCUUGUUAAAUGUUUAUGUUGAUAUAUGAAAUUGAUAAGUAAAGAGCCGAGCUAUCCUCUGUUCUUGAGUAGCUUGACACUUAGACACCAGAUGUUAUCAAUUCCAUUCAUCCCAUCAAAUACAGAUUGAACAUGCAAUGAUUAUCUGCUACUAUCUUGAAUGCUAUCUUGAAAAUACCAUCAUGCAUUGUGCCAAACAUAGGUCAUCAUCACAUAUCUAAGAAAGAACCCUCAAUUACAAUGCCCUUUUUUAUUUGCUUCAAUGUAGUGGAAAUCCAAUAGUUCAUAAUCAAAUUCAAGUAGGUCUUCUUAAUGGUCCUUUCAGCACCGUAGUAUUGUCUCAGGGGAAAUAACUAAUAAAAAUUUAAGUUUGAUCCAACAAUCAAAUCUUUUGUUAUUAUAGUUUUAAGAAGCUAAUAAAUCUUGAUUGUUUUAUAUUUUUUUUAGAUCUAAACAUAUUCUACUAGCCCACAAAUAAAUCUUUUCCAGUUUUUGAAUGGACAAGGGUAGAACUGUAUUUUUUUUAUCACUAUAGUGGUUUUGAUUAGUUAGGCUGACAGAGACAGAGGAUUUUAUUUUAUUUUAUUUUUCAACAUUUAUUUUAUGUGAGGCAUUAGAUGUUCUUGGUGGAUAGGUUGAUGGGGUUUUAAAUCUUAAAAUCAUCCUCCUAAUUAGGUCACUUUAGGUCCAUGCAUCUAUAAUUUCUAACAUUUAAUAGAAUAACCUCGAUUAUUAAAAAAAUAUAUCCUUAAAUUUUCAAACAUUACUAUCACAAAUAAUUCAUUGCGAAGAAAACCAAAUUUGAUUGAAAACAAUGGGGACUUUUCAUUGAUGUAUCAAUUAAUUUUUUUCAGUGUGCAAAGAAUGUAAAUAUUUUUUUUAAAGAAAAAAAAAAAGCAAAAUUACUAUUAUUAUUAUUCCUGUUACUGGAAAAGUAAUUUUCCCACCUCCAAGUCUCCAUCUUCAAUGGCCUUUUGCACUACUUUCAAUUUCAUUCAAAGUCCAACUAAGCAAGAUGUUAUAUAUAUAUACAAGCAGUGUACAUGAAUAGUCUCAUCCACAAAGACUUUAUGCUUGAUAACUAAUUUCAUUCAAAUUUUGAGUCGUUAUCUUCUAGAGCGGAGUUAGGAAUUUUUCUGGCUAUUAAAUAAAUAUAUAAAUUUUUAUUAUGAUCAAUUAUUACCUUGUGUAUAUAAAUUUUUAAAAUUAACAGUAAAGUUUUAAUUCAAAUAUACUAUCUAAAAUAUUAAAAAUUAAAUUUAAAAAUAUAUAAAAUUAAAGUGAAAGUAAAAAUAAACUCACUAUUAAAGUUACAUCCUUCGAUGUUUUGUGGAAUAUAAUUCAUCUAUAAUCGAAUCUGAAUCAAUAUUGUAACAACCUCUCAACCGAGAUAAAAUAACAAUCUCAUGUCAACUGGAAAAUAAAAUAAUUAAAUUUUUUUCCUCUUUCAAUUUCUUCUUCCUUCACUUGAUUCUUCCUUAGAUUAAUGCUUUAUAAGUUGGACUUUAUAAAUUUACAAGGUUAGUACCUAUCGCAUUCAACACCAUCCCAUGAGCAGCAAUCACCGCUUUCUCCAUCAACUUUCCAUGAUGCAACCUUGGGAUAAGCAGAAGGAUCAGAAGAAGCGGACCUAUGAAUGACAAGGCUUUCCUUGAACUGCAACAAGGCAUUACCCUCCUCAGCAUGGCAUAGCGGCUGCAUGGAAGGAGAAGAGUGACAAGCUCCAUGGUGAAAAAACGAGAGUAAAAAGAGCAAAAGCAUUCGCAUAGUUAAGAAACGGACAGAUGCUGGCAUUGUUUUUAGUAGAUAAUCUUUAUUUUUUCAUAAUAAGCAAAGAAGUGAAAUAAAGCAGUUUAUAUAGACAAAAAUAUUCAGUCUAUUCUUCCUGUAUUGUUGGAAAAUUAAAGUAAUCUAGGGCAUUGUCUUGUUGGAAAACUUAAAGUAGUCUUCUUGUCGGAAGACUUUGGCGCUACUGGAAGUCUAUCACUGUCUAUGUAUUGUCUUGUUUCGGUGAAUUCCAGAGCAAGGUGUGGAAUAGACAAGUGAAGCGGCCCAUAUCUGAGCUUGCAACAAAGGUCAUGGACCUGGUUUGGGGUUAAUAGCAUUAAUUCGAAACAAAUACUUUAUUUAAUUAAAUGAAAAUAAAAAAUGAACACACUCUAGAAAGUGAUUAAAUAAAAUUCAAGUAAAAAACAAUAUUAUGUGGGGUUGCACAAAAACAACGCCCACUAAAAUUAAAAAAUAAUUUGCAAUCUUAUUCAAAAACCAAAUCAAAAUUAAACUAUGUUUUAUUAUAAAAAUAUAUUUAUUUAUUUUAUUUAAUCUCAAUUAAAAUUAAAUAACCACUAGUUCAGGCAUCCUACACAUAUUUAAUUAUCCAUUUUACUUUAAAAUCUAAAUAAAAAAUUAAAGUUAAAAAAAGAGCUAGACAACUAGCCCAUUAAUAAAAAAAGGCCAUGAAGGCUGAUAUAGGGUAAAAUAUUUUUAUUUAAAAACACCUAAUAAAUAUAUGUAUAAUGCCAAUAAACUAACCUGUUAACUUAACACACUCCUAAAAUUGUCAUAAAAAAUACAAAAUCAAAUCAAAAAUUUCUCGUUGAACCUUAUUCUAUUUUUUCAAGUAAGAUAAAGAGUAAAACACCUCAAUGGAAUACCUCUCAUCAAAUAAAACUCAUUGAUAUAAAUAAUGACUUUGUCAUCACCAAAAUAUGCCCAACCAACUACUUUCUCUCUCCUUCAAUAUUUUUCAACGAGUUUCUCUAUUCUCACCCAAUCACAAGAACUGAAAAAUGAAUAAAAUGAUGUUUUAGACAAACACAAAAAUGUGUCAAACAAUAGGACCAAAAAUAAAAUUUUCCAAACGCGUAAACCAUAAAAUCCUAAAAACACACUAGACAAACAUUGUUUUAAACAAAACAAAAAUCAUUUUUUGCCUCGUACACAAAUUUACUCCUUGAAUUUUAGUCUUUUUGUAGCCAUUAAAAACAAAAUUGUUUUUGCAAAAUUAAGCGUCAAUUCAAUGUCUUAGGAUUUUCUAGACAUCUCGAUAUUUAGAUAAAAAGUAAACCAAAAUAAAUUAUAAAGUCUAAUUCCAAUCUUAUGUAAUGUAGAAGGAUGAAUUUAAAUGAAAUUUGUUUUUUUAUGAUUGAGGUAAAAACAGAACAAAAAAAAUUACAUCACAAUAAAAUUACUCACAUGCCACAAAGCACAAUGCAAUUCAACAAUAAAAAUCCCUUAUCUUUAAGAUUUUUUAAUUUAAUUAUUUUAAUGAGUAUUGAUUGUUCAAUUAUGGUAUUAUAGUGUAGCGGGCUUGUGUCUUAUAGUCAUUGGAAAACAAAUAGCAUUUUAAUAUAAAAAAUGUUUCUAAUUUUUAUUGAAAAUAUUUUUAGAAGUUGUCAAAACAAAUUAAAUGAGAAUAGUAAAUCAACUUAAAUAAGUAAAAGUUUUUAAUUUUUUUUCUAAACUAUUAUUAUUAUUAUUGAUACUUUUACCAAAAGUAUUUUGAUAACUUUUUCCGUUUAACGAGUAAAAGGUUUUAAUUUUAAAAAUCUCAUAGCAAUGCAUGGAUUUCCUUUUCUUAAAGAGUAAAAGGUUCUGAAAACCCUUGAACUUCCUUAGAAAUGAUAAAAAUGUCCCUGUGACAUGUGUAGCUCACGAGCGGCUACUGUUGAAGGGGGAAUUUUUAGCAAGAUUCCAAACAAAAAAGGGCAUAUUUUGGUAUAUCUCGAUAAGAUUAUUCUAAUAAUAGUACUGGUGGUCAUUGAUGACUAAUGAGAGAGAAUCGACGGUUUGAAGCUUUGAAUGGCCGAAGAUAACACAGCCUUUCUCUAGAAAUAUUAGGUUGCAAAGUUGAUGAAAACCAACUGAGGUUUUGCUCACGAGGAGGAGAAGAGUCUUUUUUUGGUUGUUCAACGACUUGAGGUGACCAAAGCUAGGAGAUCUAAGGAGAGAAAGAAUACCGGUGAGAGGAGAGAGAGUCUAUGAGGUUUGCUAAGGUGAGGAUGCGAGCAUGAUAAUCUGGUGCACUAGAUCUUGUGGACUGCUGUUCAAUUCUGAAUUGAUCUUCCAAUUAUGAUUUGUUUGAUUAAGAAAUUGAUAUAACGGUCCUGAUUGACAUAUACUUGUUUUGAUGUGAUAAGAUGUAUGGGAUGCUUGGUACAUCAAGUGAUGUAGCAAGAUAGGAUCAAACAUCAUAUUUUUUAAGGGCUGAAAUGAAUUUGGGUUUUAAGAGUAUAGUAAGUUGUAUUAGAUUAGAUCCAAUCAAGGGUUCAGGACUAAUAAUAUUAGAUCUAACUAUUAGGAUAUUUUUGGUAUUUUUUGAAUUGUUUUAAAAAAAUCAAUAUCUUACUAACACGAAGAAAACCUAAAAAUAAAUAUAAAAACACCAAUAAUAUCUUUGAGUUAUUAACAUUCAUAUUAACUUCUUUUUUUCGCAAACAUUUCACUAGAAGCAUUACUCAGGAGACACAACAUUUAUGUCCAAGAAACACGACUAGAGACACUGAGUCAUGUUGAAGAAAAUUUUCACUUGUACUAACUUUUCUGUUGAAAAAAGCUUUUGAUUUUUAUUCAUUUUUGUUUUAUUAUAUAUAUGUGUGAGUGAAACUAUAAAUUCAAAUCAGUAUUAGAAAACACUCGUUUCAACCGUUAAAAAUCAAUUUUGAUUACCGCAAAAUUAAUUUCUAACACCAAAAAAUAUUUUUCAACCAGUAUCAACCCGAUAGACCUGGUUUUGAAUGAAAAUAAUGGUUUUGACCAAAAAAGGCAUGAAACUCAUUUUUUAUCCCAAUUGACAUGGUUUGACUCGUAUUGACCUGAUGACAUGGUUUUGACAGAAAAUGACAGUUUUGACCCAAAAUGGCCUGAAACUCAUUUUUUACCUCGGUUGACAUAAUUUGACAUGUAUUGCCUAGUGAGAUCGAUUUUCAUAAAAAAUGACAGGUUUGAUCUGAAAUGGCUUGAAACUCAUUUUUUAUCCUCGUCGACAUGGUUUGACUCGUACUAAUCAAGUGAACUCGUUUUUUAUGAAAAAAAAAACAGUUGACUCGAGAAAAAUAUAUUUUUUAUUUUUAAAAUUUCUCUUAAAUUUUUUUUCAAUUUUUUUAAAUAAAAAUAGAAAUAAAAUAACAUACAAGAAAAUUUUAGAGAAUCUAAAAUUGGAUUAUUACAAGUCCAUUAGCUAGAGACUAGCUCAGUCACUUCAUUAGCCUAGCCAUGAUGCAGCCAUGAAAAAUCCAUAUUUUAUUUGAUGUUUUUUUCAUGAUUUGAUCAAUUAUAUCCAUUGUCACACUCGGAUAUUGCGGCGACUGAUUAAUUUUAGAGAAUGCAAAAUUGGGUUAUUACAAAGUACAUCAACUAGAGACUAGCUUAGUCACUUCAUUAGCCUAACCAUGAUCCAGCCAUGAAAAAUCCAUAUUUUAUUUGAUGUUUUUUUCAUGAUUUGAUCAAUUAUAUCCAUUGUCACAACCAGACAUCGCGGCGACCAAUUAAAAAUUAAUCUUGAUUGGAAAAAGAAAUAGAUAUUUGGCGUCUUGUUCUUUUAGGAGAAAAGGUCUAAGUUUAAGGAGUCGCCACCUAUUAUUAUAGUCACUAGGAACCCUAACUCGUCAACAUAGAUUUUGAUGGUAUGAGACUGGUUACGUGAAAUAAAAAAUGUUAUCACCUCUUAAAUGUCCUACCUGAGACAACCUAUUUGUUUUGUCUAAAAUUGCUAAAAAUAUGUUCUCUUUUUUUCUUUUUCUCCCUUUUUAUUCUUUCUAUAAUGUUCCUUUCCUUCUUUGCAUGCGAGCUUUCUGUGCUUGAAGAUGAAGAUGAAGAACUGCACCUGAUUGAAAUGACGUUGUUUUGGGGUUGAAAAUGGUUAUUUCCAAUCUAGUCCUUGAAGUUUUCUGAAUCUUUGCAUUCAAACCCCUGGUUUUUUAAUUUUAGAUUUUAACCCCCUUAUCAUUGAAUUAAAAAAAGUAAAAAGUGUCCAAAAUUGGGUUACAACAUCCAUAGUUAUUAGGCCCGGCUCGGCGGGUUGACCUAGGACUCGAGCAACUUAGGGCCUUGGUCGGAUCUGAUGAAGAAGAAAAUCGGGGUUGCAUUUGGCCCAAGGAAACUCGAGCAGCUCUUCAGGUCAAUCAAGGACCCACGUGACCCGCUGUAACCUGAUAAAGACCCGUUUAUUUUUUAUAAACAAGAAAAUAAUUUUUCAAAUACCUAUUUGUUAAGAGGUGGAACAAAUUAUUCUCUUGUGUGAUUGUUCCCAAAGACAAAGUAAAUAAUUUACUAAUACCAAAACUAACAUAUUAUUUUAAAACAAGAAAAAAAAUUCUUGGGUGGGGGCUUCCAAAAAUAAACUAAUUUUCUUUGCCUAACAAGACAGAAAAUUAAUGUACAAACCCCUAUCACUUUUUUUUUUUUUUUAUGUGGGUGCUCCUAAACAAAGCAUCUAAAAUGGUAAUUUAAUUUUAAGGGUAAAAUAAAAAAUUACUAAGGUCAAAAGGUAGGUAUUGCCUUGCAUGGCAGGAGGGGUAAUUAGAGAUUUUUCUUUUGCUCAACUCAACCUUAUGCGUGCGAACAUAUCACUUUUUUUUGUUGGUUAUUAGCUCAUAUCAAAGUUUAUUAUAUAAAUACUAGAGAAUUUUAUUUUUUCAAUGUACGAUUGAAAGACCAUUAGUAUAUAUAUUUUAUAUUCACAAGAAGAAAGUUGUGUUUUUUCAACGUAAGAUAAGAAACUUUUUUUGUUUAAAUACUUCAACUUAAAAGAAGAAGAUAGUAUCUUUCCAAUAUGAGGUUAAAAAAACUUUUCAAAAUAAUAUUUUAAAUUUUAUUAUUUACAAUAUAUAUAGAUCUUAUAUCCAUAUAAAUUGUUUUUUAAUUUUUUAUGCGAAAUAUUAAAAUUUUACAUAUUUUUUUAAUUUUCUUGAAUUGAUUUAGAUCAAUUUAUGUGAUUCAAGACCUGAAUUUUUAGCUUGAUCAAUACUUAAACCGGGUGUAAUAACUAUUUUUAUAGCUAAUAAUAAAAUAAAAAAAAGGAAAGCGCUCACCGACCUUCCAUAUCGGUUUUUCUGUAUCCACUAUUUAUAAAGGGCAAAGGAAAUAUUAGUAAGGAAAUAGCCCUUGGUUGAGUGGUCAUGCCAUUUCUGAUUAUAAAAAAAAAAGGUAACUACUCUUUUCGUUCAAUCUGGUUUUGCUUUCACAAUUCAUGGAUUCACUUGAACCGGACUGCACGUACGAGACUCAAAAGUCACGUGUAGAAUGAUGUUGAGUUCAUGAUAUUCACACGUCUUCUCUCUCUCUGUAAAAAGUCUUCCUCUUUUUUUGGUGCUAACAAAAUACUCUCUCAGCUACUAUUGUUAUUGCUGCCAAUACAGCAGCAGCAGCAGCAUAAUAAUAAUAAUAAUAAAAAAAAAAAAAAGGAAAGCAGCUUACCAACCUUCUAUUUUGGUUUUUCUGUAUCAAUUAUUUAUAAGAGGUGGAGGAAAUGAUUGUUACCAAACAGCCCUUAGUUGAUGGCUAAAUCAUUCUUCUGAUUUUUUUAUAUAUUAUUAUUGAUAUUAGCAGUCUCCGUCUUCAUUAAAUUCCAUCGCAAGAUGUCACACAAACUUGUGAUGUGGUCUGUCAGCCAAGUUGGCUUGAGCGUUUAACAUGCUCGGAAGAUAUCUAAUAUUACCACCGCAAUCAUCUCAUCAUUCUAAUGGCUAAUAGCUGUUACAGAGACAAUGAUUGAUUAAGGUAAACGUGGGAGAUGGGUUGAAGAGUUUAAACAGAAAGGUUAUAGAGUGAAUAAUGGAUAGUUAUAGAGUUUCUUUUGUGAAGAAUAAAAAAAAAAUAUCGAUUUCCAUCAACUAAUUUCCUUGGGGAUUUCCAUAAUAACACUGUAUUGAAUGGGAUAAAUGUAAACUAUUAUCAUUAAUCAAUUGAUCUAAAGAUAAUAUGGUGAAGGGAUUUUCAUAGUAAUGUUCCAUUCAUUGCCAAAUUAAACUGAAGAAACAAAUUUCUUUUUUUAUCGCUUUAAUAAUUCUUUAUGGAAGUGGUAGAGAAGCUGAGCAGUAAAAAAUAAUUCGAUGGGAUAUUAAAGCAUGCUAUAAGAAUUUCUAUUCAAUUUUGAGAAAGAGAGUUUUUCAAACGAGGCAAUCCCAGAUGGGUGAUGAAAAAUAAGAUCCUCGAGAGAUAAAUAGAAAGAAUAAUAUUCUAGGUAACAAAAUCUAAGAAAAGUCCGCAAAUUUUCUUUGUGUAUAUAUUUAGGGCUUAAUAUCAUGAACAUCUUGUAUAUGCUUUUUUAUCUCGAGGAUCUUAUUUUAAAAAAAUUGAAAUUUUUUGUUCAUAUCCAGAUCAACUGUCCCUGUUUUUUAAUAAGAGUUAGAAUCCUAAAUCAAACAAGAAAGACAACAUAAAAUCGAUCUGACAUAAAGCUACAAAUUAAAAAAUAACAAUAAAAGUAAUGAAAUUAGCUCAAAUAUUGAGGGUCUUUCAGGGCUUUUAAUAAAGCAAGAACCUGUGAAAAGCGUGCGACUCCCCUGAUUGUUGUUAAGGCGAGAUUUUCUAUGCUGUUAAGGCGUGAUUACUCGUCUACACAAAAAAUUAGCAUGGCGAUUUUGACGUAGACCAACGCCAGUACACAAGAAGAUCACGUCAAGCAAAGAAAGAUAGAAUUAUAAGGUCUAAUUCCAAGCCAACGCAAUGUAAAAAGAUAAAUUUAAAUGAAGUUUGUUUUUUUAUGAUGGUGUAAAAAAACAAAAAAACAAUUUACAAUCCACAAUAAAAUUACUCAAAUGCCACAAUGCACAAUCCAAAUCAACAGUAAAAAUCCCUCAUCUUUAAGAUUUUUUAAUUUAAUUAUUUUAAUGAGUGAUUGUUCUAUUAUGGUAUUGUAGUGUAGCAGGUUUAUGUCUUAUAGUCAUUGAAAGAAACACAUCAUUUUAAUAAAAACAAAUGUUUCUCAUUUUUAUUGAAGAUAUUUUUAAAAGUUGUCAGAAAAAACAAUUAAAUGAGAAUAGUAAAUAAACUUAAAUAAGUAAGAGGUUUUAAUUUUUUUUUUCUAAACUAUUAUUAUUGUUAUUGAUAUUUUUACCAAAAAUAUUUGAUAUUUUUUUUUCUGUUUAAUGAGUAAAAGGUUUUAAUUUUAAAAAUCUCAGGGUAGUGUAUGGAUUUCCUUUUCUUAAUGAGUAAAAGUUUUAAUUUUUAAAUAAGAAAUUUAUUAUUAUUAAUACUAGUCUAGUGGAGAAGUAAACAAGGAGUGCACAUAAAUAGUCUUUGCUACUAUUGUUAUUGAUGAUACACAUAAAUGUUCUUUAAAAAAAACAAAUUCUUUCUAUGGCUGGAAUUUUCAACUCCAACAGCGAGUCAGUUUGUUCAAUCCUGUCCCAAUACACCUUUCCAUGUAUUUUUUCAGGUUUUUAGGAAGCGCAAACUUUUCAUGCAAACAAUUUUUCUAUGCAUACAUAAUUUUUACUAUGCAUAGUUGACACCACUUUUUAUAACAAUAACACUACUCACAAAACCAUAAUCUUUAUAUUUAUUGGUGAAAUUUUUCAUUGGUAUUUGUACUAUCAUUUUAUUGGUAAUUAAUUAAUCAACAAAAUCACCGAUGAAAAUGCUUUGUCGGUGAAUCUUUCAUCAGAAAUUUUUUGUCCGUUAAUAACUCCGUUUGUAAUAAAAAACAAUUAUUACCGAUGGAUUUACUGAUGGUAAAAACAUACAAAAAAAAAAUUACCCACAUCAUUCCGUUGGUAUUUUCCUCGGAAAAAUACCAUAUGUAAUUCGGUCGGUAAUUAUUUAAAAAUUUAAAAAAAUCCAUUUUACAAAACUAUAAAAUAAUUAAAUUAAUAUAAAUCAAAACUUUAUUAUACUCAAAUAUACUUUUUUUAAAAAAAGAAGAAUAAAAUCAACUCAAACAAAUUUGCAACAAAUAAAUAACAUGAAAAAAUAAAUUCAACUAAAAACAUUCAUAUAAAAAAUUAAGUUGCGAUUGCUAAAAAAUUAAAAAUCCUAUAAAUAAAUCAACUAAAAAUUGAUCUCAUAUGAAAAAAAAAUGCUACAAUAAUAUUCAUACAAUUAUUAAGAACAAAAAGAAUUAAAAAUAAAAUAAAAUCACAAAUAUAGUGGGGGAAAAAAAAAGAACAAAGAAAAAUUUUACCUUAAUGUUGUUGCAAGUGAAGCUAAGAAGAGAAAAAAAUUCUUAAAGUAUAUUAAUUAAAAAAACGAAGAAGAAGAAAGGUGAAGAAUACAUACCUGAGCAUGAAGGAGAAGAGAAGGAGUUGAAGAGAAAAAAGAAGAGAAGAAAUGGAUAUUGAUGUUUUGUACAUAUGGGGAAGAAGAAGAAGAAAGGAAUCUCGUCUGUUGUGAAAUUAGGGAUUCCAGACUUUUUAUUGAGGUGUUUUACAGAUGAUUUUACUAACAGAUAAUUAAAUAUUAAUAUUUUAAAUCAUUUUGUCAGUGAUUCCGUCUAUAAUAUUUAAUUUAAUAAAACAAUUUUAGAAACCGCAAAUAUCAUCAACGAAUUUUCAGUCUAUUAGUGAUUUCGUCUAUAAUAUAUAAUUAAAAUUUUUAAUUUGAUUUAAUUUUUUCAAAAAACCACCAAAUAACACUAACGACUUUUCAAUCCGUUUGUGAUUUUGUUUGUAAAGAACAGUAAUUAACAGUACAAUUGGGAAAUGAACAGUUCCAAAGCUCUUGGAAAAAUACCAACAAAAUUUUCCAUUGUUGAUUUUCCUUGUAAUUGAUAUGAUGAACAAUGUUCAUAAUUUACUAACAGAAUAAAAUUAUGUCAAUAAUUUCGUUGGUAAAAAUAACAUGUUAUUAUUUUUUUGCAUUGUUUUAAUUAUUUUUUCCCAACUGUAAUGCCCUCGGUAUAUAUCAAGGGAAUAUAUCUGUCAAUAAAAUCCAUCCAAAAUGUACCGACGGAUAUAUUCUCUUAGUAUUUUCAUUUGUAUUUAUCAAUCUUCAAGUAGUGUCAUCACUAAUAUUUUAACCCCUCAUAGCACAAUUAUGGUAUGACAUAAUAAUCAAUAAAGCCACCAUGGCUAGCUAAUGGUAGCCCAAAAAUUUCUUCAUCAAUGAUACGUCUCCUUCUCUAUGAAAAACAUUCAAGUACUGAGUGUGUGAACAUAUCAAGUUACUUGGCAAAAUCCAAAUUUCAUCAUUCGCCAAAGCUAAACUUAGCUUUUGAAAGUCAGGCCUCACUAUAUACAUUUACAUUACAGGCCUCACAAUCGUAAAGUCAUCAAUAAUAUGCUACUCUGCCAUUUUAGGCCGAGGCCAUAAACGCUUCCUCUUCAUACAUCUCUCUUUGUGCAUUUUCUUUCAUACACAUUAUACUUCUCUUACACUUGGAGGCUCUCCAGUUUUUUUUAGAUGAACGUCCAGCCUCCCAUUAAGUCUAUCGAUCCACGACAUUGCUCAGUCGCUCCAAUUUUUUUUAUUAAAAAAAAAUAAUUGAUAAAAUGAAGAUUUUAUUAGACUAGUAAAUUAAGGGUACUAAAAAUCAUAAAUUAGAUAUUGUUCUCAAAUAUUUAAAUAUAGAGUUAGUUAUGAUUAAAAGAAGAUAGACAUCAUCUUUAAAUCAUCAUUUAAAGUUACAGGUUACCCUUACUUGUAUUUUUAUUUUAUUUUAUUCAAAUACUAUAAUAUUCUAAGCUUAUUAUAAUUUUUUUUUAGAGUUAACGCCGGUCCUUAAAAAUAGAAUUCUCGCUAAAAAAUAACAUCGUUUCUUUAAAUUAUAAGACUCGUUGAAAUGUUGAUAUUUAACCCUUAAAAGAAGAGUUUAGUCUAAGUUGCAAAAAAAAAAAUUGGACAGAAUCUAUAUUUGUUUUUAAAAUUUUGACAUCAGUCGUUUAAAAAAAAAUGUGUCGAUGAAUAACAUUUAUUCCUGAAAAGAAAGAUUAUGUCGGAAUUGCUAAGAAUAAGAAUAACUUAUAUUUGAGAAUUGGACUUUGGAUCCACGUAUGAUGACUAGAUAAACUGGGUGUUAGACCUGCAUCAUCAUUCUUCUUUAUAUUUAUUUCAAGUUAAAAUACAAAAAAAUAUAGAUAUGUGUAUAAAACAAAUAUCAUAAAAUCCCUAAAAUUACAUGAUUGCCACUAUAUAGGAAAAGGAUUGAAAAACACUUGAACUUCCCUGAAAAUGAUGAAAAUAUCAAUGGCGGCACGUGUAGCUCACGUGCAGCCACUGUUGGAGGGGGAAUUUUCAGCGAUAUUCCAAGUCAAAAGGGGUAGAUUCUGGUGCAUCUCGAUGAGAGGAUUUCAAUAAUGAUGAUUAUGGUUGAUGAAAGAGAAUUGAUUCUUUGAAGCUUCAAGUGGUCAAAGAUGUCACAACCUUUUUUGAAAAUAUUAGGCAGCAAAAUCGAUGAAAACCAGUUGGGGUUUGCUUGUGAGAAGAAGAUAAGUAUUUAUGUGGUUGUUUGGCGGCUUGAGGUGAUCAAAGUUGGGGAAUCUGAAGAGAGAGAGAAUUGUUGAUGAGAGGAGAGAGAGUCUAUGAGGUUUGCUAAAGUGAGGAUGCGAGCAUGGUAAUCUUAUGGACUGCUAAUCACUUUUGAAUUAAUCCUUCGGCUACAAUUCACUUGAUCUAAAAAUUGAUCUGACUGUCUUGAUUGAUAGAUACUUGCAUCGGUGUGAUACGACAAGCGACAUGGUAAGAUAGGAUCAAAGGAUAAAUUUUUUUAAGGGAUGAGAUAAAUUUACGUUUUAAUCUAGUGUAGUAAGCCAUAUUAUUAUAUCCAAUUAAGGGUUCAGAACUAAUACUAUUAGAUCUAACAAUUAGGAUAUUUUUGAUAUUUUUUUGAAAUGUUUUUAAAAAAUCAAUAACUUACUAGUGCAAAAACAAAUAACAAAAUACUCUCUCAGCUACUAUUGUUAUUCCUGCCAAUACAAUAAAAAUAAUAAUAAAACAUUUCCGUGUUAAUAAUAAUAAUAAUAAAACGUUUUAAUCUCCGUGUUAGUGUUCUCUUUGCGAAUUACGAUCCAUCGAGGAUUCUAAGCAAAAUUACAUUAGUUAGAGUAAAAUCAAACGAGGAAAUACUCUGUAAGGUUGGGUUGAGAAAAGUCUCAUGUUCAGGCUAUAAUUAAAAUGGUAAGAAUUAAAUUAACAGUAAUAAAAAAAAUAAAGGAAAUAAUCAAACACACGUCAACACCAUUAACACAAAGAUGUUGGGCUUGGUUUUGAGCCCUUCUCCUUGACAAUUGGCUUUCAGAUUUUAGAAUACUCCCAUUACCUAUGAUAUGAAAGACCUAAAAAAUUAAUCUUAAAAUAAGGAUUUCGGCCAUAAAAAAAAAAAAAAAACGUUGGUGUAAAAUCAGAGCACUAAAUUGUUGUUCUACCAGUUAUUAAACAUAUGUAUAGCAUAAUUAUAGACUUAAAAUUGCUUUAUCAUGUUUGAAGUUAUCAAACAAAUGUAAAAGGUUUCUUGGUUGGUUUUGAAAUUGAUUUUAGCUAGAUAAGAGAUUUGGUUCCCUUUAUUGGACAAUUUAACUAUAACUAUCUUUUUAAUUAUAUAGCUUUAUUAUUUUGUUGCUUGUAGUAAUCUUACAUGGCUCACAAUGACAUGAGAAAAAAAAUGAUAAACAAAUUUACCAUUAAUAAGAGUAAGGAAAAUAGUUGUUGUCGACACACGCAACUAAAGUAGUCAAGCUAGCGAUAAUAAAUAAUUUUGAAUAGUCAUGUGUGAAUCUACUACAACUAAAUAAGAAUUUGCUCCAGAUAAAUUACAUGGAUGACCUAAUAUAUAUAUAUAUAUAUAAACUAGUGGGAUAAGACUAGGCUUAAGAAGUGGUCUGGUUAUGCCAGACCAGAAUAACAGCUCAUAAGAGUCCUGAUUUUUAAUUCAACCAUUAGAUUGCAUUCAAAUUUUUACAAGAGUUUACGGAGGUUAUUUUCCUUUAAGUCGCAUGGAAUUGCUACUCCGACCAUCAGAUCUUUAAAUUUUGAAAAUCUAGCACCGAGCCUAUUUUUGGCUAUUUUUGUUAUUUUUCUUGUUAUUUUUUUAUUUCAUGUUAAUUUUUGGAUUUUAUACUUCUUUCCUUUGUAAUUUCAUAUUUUAAUUUUUGUUUUCUAGUUGAGGUAGAGUUUUUUACUUAUUUAAAUGUAAACCUCCUCAGAUUUUAUUAUUGUUAAUUUAGAAAAAAUAAAAUUCAUAAACUUAAAAUUCAUAUUUGCAGUCGCUCAUUAAAAUUCUUGGUUUUUUUUUUUUUAUUAUUUGUUAUUAUCUUUAUCUUACGCAUGCAUCAGUAACUCUCCAGUCACAUAUUAUAGCAGCACGAAUUAUAUUAAGAUUUUUUUCAUCUAAAAUUCGUACUAUAGACUACUAGUGUACACAAAUAUUCAACAUACUAUAUGUUACAUUACUAAUUACUUUAAAGACAUCAUCAUGAUAUUUUUAGCACGUUACAUGGACCAUCCAAGAGAAAUUCACUAUUAACCUUACAAGUGAAAAUUAAGGGGGAAAAAAGAAAAAGAGAAGGAAGAGGAAAUACGAGAAUACGAGAUAAUACAACAAACUGGAAAACAUCCUAAUAAUUAGAAAUCAAUUUCUACGCAGGCGAGUCUUCAAAUUUUGACCUUUGUUCACAAAGUAAUUCUUCACCAGCCAUUCAUACUUCCUUGUGUUCAUAGCGCAUCCAAGAAUCACUCCAAUUACCAACCCGGUUGCAUAACCUAUCACCACCACCUUCCAACCAAAUUCAAGUGGAUAUCCCGAGCCUUCAUCUUCUUUGGGAGCUGGUAGCGAGUCCUCGCCAUUUCCACAUUUUUUUGAUAAAGGCUUUCCACACAAUCCUGGAUUCGCAUCAAAUGAAGUGUUGUCAAAUGUCUCGAAUUGGUUUCCUCUUGGUAUUGGACCUGAUAGAAGAUUGUGAGACACAUUAAAGACCGCGAGGAAGGUGAGCUGUGCAAGUUGGACAGGAAUCUCUCCCGAGAGUUUGUUCUGAGAAAGGUCCAAAGCUUCAAGCCCUUUCAAGUUGGACAAGGAUGGAGGGAUGCGACCAGUGAGAAAGUUGUUGGAGAGAUUGAGCAAAUACAGUUCUUUGAGAUCUCCAAGGGCAUCUGGAAUUCCUCCUUCAAAACGAUUUCUUGAAGAUCAAUAGCUGUGAGAAAUUCUUGGAUCUUCUCAUAUUUUGUCACCACACCUUUAUUGGUCAUUGUCAUUGAGUAGUCAAAUGAGAUGUCAUUACAUACCUUGGUAAUUGAAAACUUGCGUCUACUUGCAUGUACAACGGGUGUUCUUUAUAGAUAGUUUUCAUGGCAGUCCAAUUUCGAAAGUAUUCAAGUGGCAACUUACCCAAAAAACAAUUACCGGAUAGAUCAACAAUCUGCAACCUCUGGAAUUCAAAGUCAGCUUUAGGUUUCCCAAUCACGCCAUGGAGCCUAUUGGAUCUCAAAAUCAGAACCCUCAACUCUGGCAAAAUACCCAACCAUGAAGGGAAGACAUCAUUUAUCUUGUUUUGUUCGAUAUUGAGAAUCUCUAGCUUGGGACAAUUGGCUAAUGAUUUUGGUAUCUUCCCUUCCAAUUGGUUUUGACUGAAAUCGAUUGCCCUCAAUGCGCAGUCACUUGAGAAAGCUUCAGGAAUGUCACCGCUGAAGCUGUUGUUGUGUAGAUCGAGUACUGAAGCAGAGUUACUUAUGUUUCCUAAACAUUGCGGAAGCUUGCCACUCAAAUUGUUGUUAGACAAUUGGAGGAUAACAAGAGAUGUCAGAUUGCAGAUUGCUGGUGGAAUUUCUCCAUUUAAACGGUUGUCUGAGACUUCAUAAAUAAUGGUGGAAUGUGGUGGAAUUGGAAGGGCUCCAUCAAGCUUGUUGAAAGAAAGUCUCAGAUAUCGUAGAUUAUUCCAUGGAAGAAUAUCAACGGAUUGCUCAAAACCUGUUAGAAGGUUGCCUCUGAGAUUUAAAUACCAAAGUGUUUCGGUGCCCAAGUUCAUAAACCAUUUUGGUAUGUGCCCCUCAAUUUUGUUUCCAACGAGUUCUACAACUCCAAGUGAUUUUGACCAUGUAAGAAACUUGGAAACUCGCCUGAUAAAUUGCAUCCACCCAAACCUAAAAUUUGAAUUUUUGGCAGAGCAGCACUAUCAUUGUGGUUACCAAUCACAGACAAAUUAUUGUCAGAUAAUUGGAAGGAAACAAGGCUUCUUGACUUAAGAAGGCCAAAUUCUACAGUGCCACUGAAUAAAUUAUCUGCUAGGUUAAGGGUUUCAAGAUUGGGAAGCCUAAAAAUAGAAUCUGAAAUUGGACCGUGCAGUUUGUUGCCUCCAAGGCCCAGUAAGAUUAAUUGGGUUUGGUUUCCUAUCCAAGAUGGAAUUCGACCAAUUAAUUCAUUUUCAUAAAGCUUUAAGACGGUGAGCUGAGUCAAGUUUCUAAGAGAGGAUGGAAUGCUACCAUAUGAAUUGGUGCCUUUCAAGUUUACAUAAUUGAGUUUGGUUAGAUUACCGAGCCAAUCUAAGGUACCAGAUCUGAAAUUGUUAUCAGAAAGGUCUAGAUAGUUCAGUUUUGUAAGAUUACCAAGUGAAGAUGGUAUCACCCCAGAAAAGCCAGACAGUGAGAGAUCUAGAUCAAACAGCCUUGAGAGAUUUCGAAUCUCAGAAGGGAUUUCAGAGUAGUUGAAGUGGUUGUCAGCAAGAUUCAGCCUUCUGAGCUGAACAAGGUGGAAGAGGCUGCUAUUGGAGUCGAUGAAGCCAUAAAGGCAGCUGCUACUGAGGUCAAGGCCGAUCACAUGACCAGAGUGCCCAUCGCAUUUAACACCAUCCCAUGAGCAGCAAUCACCAUUUUCUCCAUGAACUUUCCAUGAUGCAACCUUGGGAUAAGCAGAAGGAUCAUAAGAAGCAGACU